rnacentral:misc_RNA from 1 species
GAUGAAGAACGCGGCGAAAUGCGAUAAGUAAUGUGAAUUGCAGAAUUCCGUGAAUCAUCGAAUCUUUGAACGCACAUUGCGCCCUCUGGUAUUCCGGGGGGCAUGCCUGUCCGAGCGUCAUUUGCAACCCUCAAGCCCGGCUUGUGUGAUGGGUGCCGUCCCCUACGGGACGCGCCCCGAAGGCAAUGGCGGCGUCGCGGUUAUCCGAUCAGCCAAAGUGUAUGGGGCUUUGUCACUCACUUUACGGCCCGGACCGGCGCCAGUCCGAAUCAAUCUUUUUUCUAAAGUUGACCUCGGAUCAGGUAGGGAUACCCGCUGAACUUAAGCAUAUCAAUAAGCGGAGGA